AGAGUUUGAUCCUGGCUCAGRACGAACGCUGGCGGCAUACCUUACACAUGCAAGUCGAGACGGCAGCAUGGGUAGCUUGCACCUGAUGGCGAGUGGCGAACGGGUGAGUAAUGCAUCGGAACGUACCCGGAAGUGGGGGAUAACGUAGCGAAAGUUACGCUAAUACCGCAUAUUCUGUGAGCAGGAAAGCAGGGGCUCGUAAGACCUUGCGCUUUCGGAGCGGCCGAUGUCGGAUUAGCUAGUUGGUGAGGUAAAGGCUCACCAAGGCGACGAUCCGUAGCGGGUCUGAGAGGAUGAUCCGCCACACUGGGACUGAGACACGGCCCAGACUCCUACGGGAGGCAGCAGUGGGGAAUUUUGGACAAUGGGCGGAAGCCUGAUCCAGCCAUGCCGCGUGAGUGAAGAAGGCCUUCGGGUUGUAAAGCUCUUUUGUCAGGGAAGAAAUAGUMUGGGUUAAUACCCUGGGCUGGAUGACGGUACCGGAAGAAUAAGCACCGGCUAACUACGUGCCAGCAGCCGCGGUAAU
rnacentral:rRNA from 1 species